rnacentral:misc_RNA from 1 species
UUUCCGUAGGUGAACCUGCGGAAGGAUCAUUAAAGAGUAAGGGUCUUCGGGCCCGCUCUCCAACCCUUUGUUUAACUACCAUGUUGCUUUGGCGGGCCCGUCUCACGACCGCCGGAAGAUUGGCUUCGACUAAACUUCUGGCCCGUGCCCGUCCGUGGCCCAUUCAAAUUCUCGAUCAAGUAUGAUGUCUUAGUUAAAAUCUUAAUAGUUAAAACUUUCAACAACGGAUCUCUUGGUUCUG